CAGCAGCCGCGGUAAUACGAAGGGGGCUAGCGUUGUUCGGAAUCACUGGGCGUAAAGCGCACGUAGGCGGACGCUUAAGUCAGGGGUGAAAUCCCGAGGCUCAACCUCGGAACUGCCUUUGAUACUGGGUGUCUUGAGUCCGGGAGAGGUGAGUGGAACUGCGAGUGUAGAGGUGAAAUUCGUAGAUAUUCGCAAGAACACCAGUGGCGAAGGCGGCCCACUGGCCCGGAACUGACGCUGAGGUGCGAAAGCGCGGGGAGCAAACAGGAUUAGAUACCCCUGUAGUCCCUGUCUCUUAUAC
rnacentral:rRNA from 1 species